rnacentral:tRNA from 1 species
GGGCGGUUAGCUCAGCGGUAGAGCACUACGUUGACAUCGUAGGGGUCACUGGUUCGAUCCCAGUACCGCCCACAA